ACGGAGCUUGCUCUGGUGGCGAGUGGCGAACGGGUGAGUAAUAUAUCGGAACGUACCCUAGAGUGGGGGAUAACGUAGCGAAAGUUACGCUAAUACCGCAUACGAUCUAAGGAUGAAAGUGGGGGAUCGCAAGACCUCAUGCUCGUGGAGCGGCCGAUAUCUGAUUAGCUAGUUGGUAGGGUAAAAGCCUACCAAGGCAUCGAUCAGUAGCUGGUCUGAGAGGACGACCAGCCACACUGGAACUGAGACACGGUCCAGACUCCUACGGGAGGCAGCAGUGGGGAAUUUUGGACAAUGGGCGAAAGCCUGAUCCAGCAAUGCCGCGUGAGUGAAGAAGGCCUUCGGGUUGUAAAGCUCUUUUGUCAGGGAAGAAACGGUGAAAGCUAAUAUCUUUUGCUAAUGACGGUACCUGAAGAAUAAGCACCGGCUAACUACGUGCCAGCAGCCGCGGUAAUACGUAGGGUGCAAGCGUUAAUCGGAAUUACUGGGCGUAAAGCGUGCGCAGGCGGUUUUGUAAGUCUGAUGUGAAAUCCCCGGGCUCAACCUGGGAAUUGCAUUGGAGACUGCAAGGCUAGAAUCUGGCAGAGGGGGGUAGAAUUCCACGUGUAGCAGUGAAAUGCGUAGAUAUGUGGAGGAACACCGAUGGCGAAGGCAGCCCCCUGGGUCAAGAUUGACGCUCAUGCACGAAAGCGUGGGGAGCAAACAGGAUUAGAUACCCUGGUAGUCCACGCCCUAAACGAUGUCUACUAGUUGUCGGGUCUUAAUUGACUUGGUAACGCAGCUAACGCGUGAAGUAGACCGCCUGGGGAGUACGGUCGCAAGAUUAAAACUCAAAGGAAUUGACGGGGACCCGCACAAGCGGUGGAUGAUGUGGAUUAAUUCGAUGCAACGCGAAAAACCUUACCUACCCUUGA
rnacentral:rRNA from 1 species